ACCGAACCAGGAGUGAGUAUAAGCAAAAGAGUCCCACGGGUGGCGCUGCCUCAGCCACCCUGGGAACUCCUUGAAGAGGUGGUCCAUCACCUACUCUGACCCCGACCUCGUCCCCACUUGCAUCUCUUACUGAUCCACCACCAUUUGACCCACAUGUAAGUGUUCCACCCCUGGACACUUGAAGAAGCUGCUAAAGCAGUAGCAGGUGUGACCCCAACUCGUGAGAAUCCUGUUGACUGGGUCCAAGACAUAACUGAUAUAAUUCACUCUUAUAGACUGAAUGCUCACGAGGCCGGGGAAGCUAUGAUGUCCUCCCUGGGGAAAGACUGGGGCAGAGUGAGAGGAGAUUAUACAGGCAGAGAUGUAGCAGGAGCAGUUUGCCCCUAUCCUGGAGAUGGAACCUUAACAGGAACCUACAAAACUCAGCUAGACUCUCUUUUUGGCCGUGUGCAUACUACCUUUAAGAAAAUGGCCAACUACAGCCAUCUUGCAGCAA